AAAAUAUAAAUCCUAUUCUAAACUAAAUCUAGACUAAGCUCCAAUGCCUUACCCGAUGCCGCGGGCCUUCAUCACGAUCAUUUUUCGCCAACAUGAUACGUCGGGGCAUUCCCCAGUGAAUAAGUACAUAAGAUCUCGGGGCAUUCCCCGAUAAAAUGAAUACAUUUCUCAAUCUUGUGCGGUAAAAUAGAAAGAAACAACCACCAAAUAUUCACACAUUCAACAAAUCACCAAGAGUCCUAAACUUUGCCUACCCAAAGCCUACGAUUUGCUUACCGAUCCUCAUGCCAAAACAUGAUAUUUAUUCCGAAUCAAACAAAACAAUAAUAAACCUAAAUCAAUCU
rnacentral:lncRNA from 1 species